rnacentral:rRNA from 1 species
GCGCUGACUUAAUCUGCCCGCAUCUUAAGGUAAGGCGUCUACUUAGUCUCUGGAACGGGACGCCGUACAGGGUGAGAGCCCCGUACGGCUGGAUGCCGAGCCUCUGUAAAGCUCCCUCGAAGAGUCGAGUAGUUUGGGAAUGCUGCUCUAAACGGGAGGUAAACCCCUUCUAAAGCUAAAUACUGGCCAGAGACCGAUAGCGCACAAGUAGAGUGAUCGAAAGAUGAAAAGCACUUUGAAAAGAGAGUUAAACAGCACGUGAAAUUGUUGAAAGGGAAGCGCUUGUGACCAGACUUGCGUCCGGCAGCUUACCCGCCCCUUGGGGCGGUGCACUCUGCCGGCUCAGCCAGCAUCAGUUCUCGGUUGGGGAGAAAGGCGGCGGGAACGUGGCUCUUCGGAGUGUUAUAGCCUGCCGCUACGCCCUUCCGUGGACUGAGGUUCGCGCUAAGGAUGCUGGCGUAAUGGUCACUAGCGACCCGUCUUGAAACACGGACCAAGGAGUCGUCCUAGCAUGCGANUGUUCNGGUGCCAAACCCCUACGCGUAAUGAAAGUNAACCGAGGUGAAACUUUGGCGCAUCAUCGACCGAUCCUGAAGUUUCGGAUGGAUUUGAGUAGGAACUUCUUGGGCCGACCCCAAAGAAGAUGACUAUCCUGGAUAGGGCAAACCCCAGGAAACUUUGGGGAGGCUUCCAACGGUUCUAAUGCCAAUGAUGGUAAAAUUGCCCUGGGGGGA